rnacentral:rRNA from 1 species
CAGCCGCCGCGGGAAUACGUAGGGUGCAAGCGUUAAUCGGAAUUACUGGGCGUAAAGCGUGCGCAGGCGGUUUGUUAAGACAGAUGUGAAAUCCCCGGGCUCAACCUGGGAAUGGCAAUGGAUACUGGCAAGCUAGAGUGUGUCAGAGGAUGGUGGAAUUCCCGGCGUAGCGGUGAAAUGCGUAGAGAUCGGGAGGAACAUCAGUGGCGAAGGCGGCCAUCUGGGACAACACUGACGCUGAGGCACGAAAGCGUGGGGAGCAAACAGGAUUAGAUACCCCAGUAGUCCCUGUCUCUUAUAC